rnacentral:rRNA from 1 species
UACGUAGGGUGCAAGCGUUGUUCGGAAUCAUUGGGCGUAGAGCGCGUGUAGGUGGUUAAGUAAGUCGAGUGUGAAAUCCCUGGGCUCAACCGAGGAAGUGCAUCCGAAACUACUUAGCUAGAGGACGGUAGAGGAAGGUGGAAUUCCUAGUGUAGAGGUGAAAUUCGUAGAUAUUAGGAGGAAUACCGGCGGCGAAGGCGGCCUUCUGGGCCGGUCCUGACACUGAGACGCGAAAGCGUGGGGAGCAAACAGG